UAGAGUUUGAUCCUGGCUCAGGACGAACGCUGGCGGCGUGCUUAACACAUGCAAGUCGAACGAUGAAGCCUUCGGGUGGAUUAGUGGCGAACGGGUGAGUAACACGUGGGCAAUCUGCCCUGCACUCUGGGACAAGCCCUGGAAACGGGGUCUAAUACCGGAUAAUACUGUGCCCCUCAUGGGGGACGGUUGAAAGCUCCGGCGGUGCAGGAUGAGCCCGCGGCCUAUCAGCUUGUUGGUGGGGUAAUGGCCUACCAAGGCGACGACGGGUAGCCGGCCUGAGAGGGCGACCGGCCACACUGGGACUGAGACACGGCCCAGACUCCUACGGGAGGCAGCAGUGGGGAAUAUUGCACAAUGGGCGAAAGCCUGAUGCAGCGACGCCGCGUGAGGGAUGACGGCCUUCGGGUUGUAAACCUCUUCAGCAGGAAGAAGCAAAG
rnacentral:rRNA from 1 species